rnacentral:snRNA from 1 species
GUGCUUGCUUUGGCAGCACAUGUACUAAAAGUGGAACGAUAAGGAAAAGAUUAGCAUGGCCCCUGUGCAAGGAUGACAGGCAAAUUUGUGAAGUAUUCCACAUUUUU